UACGUAGGUGGCAAGCGUUGUCCGGAUUUAUUGGGCUUAAAGGGUGCGUAGGCGGCCCUGUAAGUCAGUGGUGAAAUACUCCAGCUUAACUGGAGGGGUGCCAUUGAUACUGCAGGGCUUGAGUGGAGUCGAAGUAGGCGGAAUUGACGGUGUAGCGGUGAAAUGCUUAGAUAUCGUCAAGAACACCGAUAGUGAAGACAGCUUACUAGGCUUCUACUGACGCUGAGGCACGAAAGUGUGGGGAUCAAACAGG
rnacentral:rRNA from 1 species